CCAAUGUUUUAAGUGCUUGAAAAAAAUGUUCUGGUCUUGACUGUCUGUGAGAGCCUUCCUGGUGGAAACAGAAUUGUUAGUCAGCUGUCAUCUCCAUGGUGAUUUUUUAAGGCUAAGUGCUGAACCAGAUUUCUUUUCAUUAUGGGAGUGAAAAUGAACUCAGCGGAUUUUCUCCCCGAUUCCUCUCCAUUUUCUGUUUUCAGACUUCUCCAUCAUGUUCUUGUGCCUGGCAGUGUUAAGGGGCUACUAUUUGGUUGGAAGAAGCCUUUGGAAAAGUUGUUGAAGAGUCACGUGCACAAGUGAUGUGCUGAGCAGACUGGAUCUUGCCUGAUGGCCAGAAAAUUAAAACAACACUGAAAUUAAUAAAAAUUCAAACUCCCA
rnacentral:lncRNA from 1 species